CGAACGAAGCCUUCGGGCUUAGUGGCGGACGGGUGAGUAACGCGUGGGAAUAUGCCUUUCGGUGCGGAAUAGCCUUGGGAAACUGAGAGUAAUACCGCAUACGCCCUACGGGGGAAAGAUUUAUCGCCGAAAGAUUAGCCCGCGUUGGAUUAGGUAGUUGGUGGGGUAGUGGCCUACCAAGCCGACGAUCCAUAGCUGGUUUGAGAGGAUGAUCAGCCACACUGGGACUGAGACACGGCCCAG
rnacentral:rRNA from 1 species